GUCAUUCAAUGAUCACAUCACUUAAUCUAGCUGCACUGUAAACUUCUCUGCUAACAUUGAUUGUACUAGUGAUUUAUAAGAUUUGGAUAGUGAAGCCUACAAAGUAAUAUGUUCUCUUCGUCUUUUAUAUUUGUUUUUGAGGCAAACUUGUAUUCCAACAAAUCCCACAAUUUCGUUGAAGAAGUUUAUUUCAACACAAUAAUUUUAAGUUAUAGAGCAAAUGUCAAUCUAAGUGUACUCACUACCUUUUUUUUUUUUUUUUUU
rnacentral:lncRNA from 1 species